UACAGAGGUCUCAAGCGUUGUUCGGAUUCAUUGGGCGUAAAGGGUGUGUAGGUGGCGCCGUAAGUCGGGUGUGAAAUCUCAGGGCUUAACUCCGAAACUGCAUUCGAUACUGCGGUGCUUGAGGACUGGAGAGGAGACUGGAAUUUACGGUGUAGCGGUGAAAUGCGUAGAUAUCGUAAGGAAGACCAGUGGCGAAGGCGGGUCUCUGGACAGUUCCUGACGCUGAGGCACGAAGGCCAGGGGAGCAAACGGG
rnacentral:rRNA from 1 species